GUAUUUUAUUGCUGCUUUUUUCCAACCAAGGUAAACAUUCAACAGUCUCCAAUGGGACAGGAUGUGACAGAGCCUUCCUGGAAGGAAGUGAGGGGUUACUUACCUGCACUCAGGGUGCAUGGCAGACCUAUAAACAGUAAACCAAGAGGUGCAGAAGAUUUCCUGAGAAUGAUCCAGCCCAGCCAAAUUAUGCAUCUGCCUGCUUUCAGAGCCUGCAGAUGAGAACCCACCCUGCUGGAGGUCACUAUUUGUGACACCUGAUUUGUGAGUGACUCUCCGUACUGCGUGUGAGCAGCAGAGGUGGGACAGACGUGGCUAGGGCUAUGCCAUGACAUCCACGGGAUAUAUGGGAUAUGUGCAGCAGCAGGCAUCGUCCAUGGCCACUUUCCAGGCUCCUCAUUACCGCCCCAGCCACAACAGGAUCUGAGAACCUGUAUAUUUUUCCAGUAGACAAGCAGAUUGUAGUUUAAAAGAAAUGCAAAGAAAAAUGACCAGGUGGCCCAGGGUGUUGUGCACACGAUGCAGAAGAGGCCUGAGGUUUCCUAGAAGCUUGUGCAGAUCGAUUGCACCGGGCAGUCCCAACAAGCCCAGGUUUAUGGCACAGAAGGCACUUGGAACACUCAGCCUUCACGUGGCACACUUAGCCUUCUCCUGCUAGGAAAAGAUAGGAACCUGGCCAAUGACACUAGGAGUGAAUUCUUUGCAUGAAUUAGCUAAAAGAAACGCAGUGUGACAUGUAUUAUUUUAAAUGACUGUGUGCUAAGCAGGAGAAGAAUGUUAGGAAUCAGGAAUCCAGAUUUCCGUGCUUGUAGAAGAGGGAGGAGGAUAUUUGGCUACACUUCCACCAAGCAACUCAGAAACAGAUUUAAUGUCCUCAAAUGCACUGACACCUUGCUUCUGCUUUUAGAAAGUAGUUCAAAUUGCUAAGUUAAUUUUCAAAAUUCCCCAACGACUUUUAUCUUUUAGGUAUUAGCUAAUCUCAGCUAAAGAUACUGAGUUAAGAUUUUUACAUUACUACAUCUAAAAAUGUGACUGUACACUGUUCUAGAUGCUAUUAUGUUAAAUAGCAUCAAUACAGCUAAGCCUUUAGGACAAGGCAUCAAUGACAUCCCAGAUGUCUGCAGGUAAGAGAAGUGAUCUCCCUCUCUCAAAGGGAUUUGGUGAUUCCCUAGAUGACUUUUUCUGUGGCGGGGGCAGCAGCAACAGCAAGAGUUCUGUAAUCAUCUCUUUCACUUCUCCAAGCUGCACAAUCUCCUUGCCAGUAGGAAAAGGACUCCCAGCAGGGCAGACCUCAAGUGACCUAACAACUCUUGUCACUUCCGUGGGGACAAGAGGGAACACCUGCAGUCAGAAGAAAGAAGUUCAGACUGACUCCCCUCACCUCUCCCUUCCCAUUGAUCCAGAGGGGAUGCACAGGUGACAGCGUUUCAGCUCUGGGAAGCACGAGGUGACAAUCAGGAACAGAAGAAGAAAAAGUAAAAGGACUAACCUGCAUACACGAGCAUGGUGAUGAGAAGAGCAAUUAAAUGGACUCUGUAUUUGGGGUUAACGCUUUCGGCUUGCAGGACGGCCAGCUGGAAAACGACAGAAAAGAGCAGUUCUAUGCAGAACGCCUGCAUCUCUGUAGUCUGCAUGGGGCUGCUGCAGCCCUGUGAGAGUGCACCAAGAUGCGGCUCUGCCAUCUCCAGACUCCAGAUAAAGUGCAUGAACACUCUGG